rnacentral:rRNA from 1 species
UCUAGAAAAAAUCUAAAGUGUAACCUGCCCAAUGGUCAUUAAUCAAAAAACAUAAAAGAUUUUUAAAAAGAUUUAAAGGACGCAAUAACCUGAUUGUGGUAAUGUAGCAUAAUCACUCGCCAUUUAAUUGAUGGAUAGUAUGAACGAUCAAACGAAUUCUUCUCUAUCUAAAAAAAAGAACUCAUAAAAUUAAAGUAAUAGUUAAGAUGCUAUUUAAAAUUGUAAGACGAAAAGACCCUAUAGAGCUUAACUAUAUUCUUUCUAAAACUAAAUAAUAAAAAAAUUAUAAAAAAGAAAGAAGGGUAGUUUAGUUGGGGCGACUAUCUUUUAAAAAUAACAAAGAUAAGCAAAGUUAAUAAUAAAACUUAUUGUAAAAUAAACAAAUUUAACAAUUAUAAAAAUAGGCUAUAAUGACCCGUUAAUACAUAGUAACAUGAUUAACGAUCAAUGAAUAAAAGCUACCUUAGGGAUAACAGAAUAAUUUUGUCCUAGAGACCCUAUCGAAGACAAAGCUUAUCACCUCUAUGUUGAAUUAAGAUAUCCUAAUAGUGCAGAAAUUAUUAAAGGUAGGUCUGUUCGACCUUUAAAAU